UGGACAAAUUAUUGUAUUCGACUGUAUUCACGGCGUGAAACAGGGGAUUACACUGUUUUUAAACAGAAAGUGAAUCAAUUAACAUAAUAGACUCCU
rnacentral:pre_miRNA from 1 species